UGGGGAAUAUUGGACAAUGGGCGGAAGCCUGAUCCAGCGAUGCCGCGUGUGUGAAGAAGGCCUGAGGGUCGUAAAGCACUUUUGUUAGGGAGGAAGGAGUAUGUAUUAAUACUACAUAUGACUGACGUUACCUAAAGAAUAAGCACCGGCUAACUCUGUGCCAGCAGCCGCGGUAAUACAGAGGGUGCAAGCGUUAAUCGGAAUUACUGGGCGUAAAGGGUGCGUAGGUGGAUACGUAAGUCAGAUGUGAAAUCCCCGGGCUUAACCUGGGAACUGCAUUUGAAACUGCGAAUCUAGAGUAUGGUAGAGGUAAGUGGAAUUUCCGGUGUAGCGGUGAAAUGCGUAGAUAUCGGAAGGAACAUCAGUGGCGAAGGCGACUUACUGGACUGAUACUGACACUGAGGCACGAAAGCGUGGGGAGCAAACAGG
rnacentral:rRNA from 1 species